GGCCUGUUAGCUCAGCUGGUUAGAGCGUCGUGCUAAUAACGCGAAGGUCAUGAGUUCGAUCCUCUUACGGGCCA